AUUGAACGCUGGCGGCAUGCCUUACACAUGCAAGUCGAACGGUAACGGGCCUUCGGGUGCCGACGAGUGGCGCACGGGGGAGUAAUACAUCGGAACGUGCCCGAUCGUGGGGGAUAACGAGGCGAAAGCUUUGCUAAUACCGCAUACGAUCUACGGAUGAAAGCAGGGGACCGCAAGGCCUUGCGCGGACGGAGCGGCCGAUGUCAGAUUAGGUAGUUGGUGGGAUAAAAGCUUACCAAGCCGACGAUCUGUAGCUGGUCUGAGAGGAUGAUCCGCCACACUGGGACUGAGACACGGCCCAGACUCCUACGGGAGGCAGCAGUGGGGAAUUUUGGACAAUGGGCGCAAGCCUGAUCCAGCCAUGCCGCGUGCAGGAUGAAGGCCUUCGGGUUGUAAACUGCUUUUGUACGGAACGAAAAGCCUUCUUUUAAUACAGGAGGGUCAUGACGGUACCGUAAGAAUAAGCACCGGCUAACUACGUG
rnacentral:rRNA from 1 species